UAGGGAAUCUUCCACAAUGGACGCAAGUCUGAUGGAGCAACGCCGCGUGAGUGAAGAAGGUUUUCGGAUCGUAAAGCUCUGUUGUUGGUGAAGAAGGAUAGAGGCAGUAACUGGUCUUUAUUUGACGGUAAUCAACCAGAAAGUCACGGCUAACUACGUGCCAGCAGCCGCGGUAAUACGUAGGUGGCAAGCGUUGUCCGGAUUUAUUGGGCGUAAAGCGAGCGCAGGCGGAAUGAUAAGUCUGAUGUGAAAGCCCACGGCUCAACCGUGGAACUGCAUCGGAAACUGUCAUUCUUGAGUGCAGAAGAGGAGAGUGGAAUUCCAUGUGUAGCGGUGGAAUGCAUAGAUAUAUGGAAGAACACAAGUGGCGAAGGCGGCUCUCUGGUCUGCAACUGACGCUGAGGCUCGAAAGCAUGGGUAGCGAACAGG
rnacentral:rRNA from 1 species